rnacentral:rRNA from 2 species
UACGUAGGGGGCGAGCGUUGUCCGGAAUCACUGGGCGUAAAGGGCGCGUAGGCGGUCAGCUAAGUCUGGUGUCAAAGCCCACGGCUUAACCGUGGAGGGGCACUGGAAACUGGCUGACUUGAGUGCAGGAGAGGGAAGCGGAAUUCCACGUGUAGCGGUGAAAUGCGUAGAGAUGUGGAGGAACACCAGUGGCGAAGGCGGCUUCCUGGUCUGUCACUGACGCUGAGGCGCGAGAGCGUGGGGAGCGAACAGG